rnacentral:lncRNA from 1 species
UUCAAAGGUGAUAGAAACAACCAAGAGCCACGGGAUGAUGAUAGAAAUUUAAUGGCACGAUUUGCUGGUUAUAGUUUUAAUGUAACUAAUUACGAGAUUGUAGCUAUUCUAAGGAGUAUGAGAGAUAAGAUACUUCAUAGUUUUAAUAUUACUAAUUCCGAUUUUGUAGCUGUUCCAAGGAGUAUGGAAGAUAAGGUACAGUGGCCAAAAGAGAUGCGGUCGAACCCAAACAGACGAAACCCAGACCAUUAGUGCGAAUUUCACAACGACCAUGGGCAUAAAACUUCAUAAUGUAGAUUUUUACAAAGUGGAGUAGAUCAUUUUCUGAAACAAGGCUACCUCACGGAGCUGUUCAGUGAAAAAGGAAAGCAAGCCUACAUGAAAAAUAGGUAAGAGCCACCAAAACCACAUUCACCUAUGAGGAUAGUAAAUGUCAUCAGUGGAGGAGAAGAUAUUUACGGAGUAACAUAUACGGCUUCGAACAAAGUUUUCAAAAUGACUAUCACACACGACAAGCGCGUACGGAAAAUCAUAGAACAGGAGAGUAUAAGAUUCGAUGAUGGAGAUACGGAAGGAGUGACUACACCGCAUAACGACGCUCUGGUAAUAUCUUUAAUUAUAUUUGA